GCUGCAGAUGCUCUUCGCCAAUCCAGCACUGCAGGUGCAGUUAAUGCUGGAGAUGCUGAUAGUAGUUCUGGCUAGAUAUCCAUCUCUUUGCUUGUUUCCUUUCCUCACACAGAGCUUUUUUCUGCUUACCCCUUGGUUUUGCUCUAGUGCUGCCGCGUGAGGUGUCGGAUUCAUUGGAUCCCGCAGUCUGACCGGCUUUGCGGUGCGCCUUCAACAGCAUCAACAUUAUUAUCUUUAGUGGAUAUAUGACGAACAGUUGCGUUUGCUGCCGCAUCAUGUUGACAUAACUCUACUGAAGAACUGAUAUUAAUGAAUGGCCGGAGAGGAGCGAUGAUAUGAAUUAACUCUUUGAUGUGGAGGGAAGCUGGAAAGGGGUUUUGCACUGCAUAUACUGGCGAGGAACGCACGGGGAUGAGGCUGUAAACACGUUUCUUGUCGCUGUGAGUUUUCUUGCUGAAGUUGGCUUUGCUCAGCAAUGGCAAAAUGAAUCGGAAUGGAUAUUCUGAGAAGUGUUCCUUAGAGAUGGAUGGAAGAUUUUCCAACCUUUCCCCUUUAUGAAUCUUUUCGCGGUGACUCUGGAAAGGUGGAGCGAUCAGGAAAAGCUAAUGACGGACCUAUUAAUCUAUCAAAAGCACCAGAGGGCUUUGGAAACGUUUGGAUGGAAAUGUUUGCACCUUUUUCUGGUUUUAUACGGAACUACUAAUGCAUAGUUGUGGAUCUCUGUUGGAAUCUCUAUUGUAAUUGAUUCAUAUAGUGAAAUGAAUUCAGGGCUGUUGACAUAUUCGCUGUGAUUUUUUUCCCCCCCGCAAAUAUCCAUCUUUUCUUCUGAAAGUAUUCCGAUCUAAAUGGAAUUAGUUGAGAAAGCCCUUUGUGAAAGGAAUAGACAUGGUACAUGGGAACAGGUUCCUUCACGUUGUUGCAGGUCUUCUCAUGCUUGGGUUGUCUGGGGCAACAAAAAAGGAAGCAGUGAAAAACAAUUCAGGAGUGCAGCCGGCAGGGCAGUGUGGAACCUGGGUGAAAGAACCAGAGGGAGGCCUCUUCACCUCACCCAAUUACCCAAACAAAUAUCCCCCAGAGCGAGAAUGCAUCUACAUCAUUGAAGCUCCCCCGAGACAAUGCAUUGAUCUUUUCUUUGAUGAAAAGUAUUCAAUAGAGCCUUCAUGGGAAUGUAAAUUUGACCAUAUUGAAGUCCGGGACGGGCCCUUUGGCUUUUCUCCAAUAAUUGGACGCUACUGCGGCCAGCAGAACCCUCCAUAUAUCAGAUCGAGCGGCCGUUACCUAUGGAUAAAAUUUGUUGCGGAUGGUGAAUUGGAAGCGAUGGGAUUUUCUGCAAGCUACAAUUUCACAGCAGAUCCUGACUUUAAAGACAUAGGAGUCCCCAAACCUCUUCCCUUUUGUGAAUUUGAGAUGGGAGGACCUGAAGGCAUCGUUGAAUCGCAGCAGAUCACCAAAGACGGCAAAGCCUUGCAGACCGAGGCAGUGGACUGCAAGUGGUACAUCCGCGCCCCUCCUCGCUCCAAGAUCUACUUGCGUUUCCUAGACUACGAGAUGCAGAACUCCAACGAGUGUAAGCGUAAUUUCGUGGCGGUGUAUGACGGCAGCAGUUCGGUGGAAGACCUGAGGAAUAAAUUCUGCAGCACGGUGGCCAAUGACGUCAUGCUGGUGUCCGCGCUGGGCGUGGUCCGCAUGUGGGCCGACGAGGGCAGUCGAAAAAGCCGCUUCCGGAUACUCUUCACUACCUUCCAAGAGCCUCCCUGUGAGGCAGAUACUUUCUUUUGCCACAGUAACAUGUGUAUCAACAACACGCUGGUGUGCAACGGAAUCCAGAACUGCGUCUACCCUUGGGACGAAAACCACUGCAAAGAAAAGCGGAAAGCCAACAUCUUGGACAACCUCAACAACACCAACGGCACCAUCAUCGGCGUAACGUGCUGCAUCGUGCUCAUCCUCCUAGUCGUAUCGGUGAUCGUCCAAAUUAAGCAGCCGCGGAAGAAGUACAUCCUGAGGCGGGAGGACUUUGACCCCACCAUGUUUCAGGAGGUGUUCCAGGAGCCGCCGCAUUACGAACUCUGCACUCUCCGCAGCGCGGCGGCCACCUCAGCGGACCUGGCCGAGCUGGCCGAGGACUUUGAGAGCUACCACAAGCUCCGGCGUGCAUCCUCACGCUGCGUCCACGAGCAUCACUGUGGCUCCUCGCAGCUGUCCAGCAACAAGGGCAGCCGCACCAACCUGAGCCCCCGCGAGGCGACGGCCGCCAUCCUGACGGACCUCCCGCCGCAGCCCAUGCGGCCGCUUCCUCCCCAAACCAACCGCAGGAACAUUCUGGUAAUGAGACACACCUACUCACAAGAUGCCGCGGAUGCCUGUGACCUGGACGAUGACCUGGAGGAAGUGCCCACCACCAGCCACAGGCUGUCCAGACACGAGAAAGCAGUGCAGCGGUUCUGCCUCAUUGGGUCUCUAAACAAACAUGAAUCUGAGUACAACACAACUAGGGUGUAACAGACAAUCUGAAGACUUCUUGAAAAUAGUGCAAUCCUGGAUCAGUACGAACGGGCUUCAAUGAAAUAUGAAAAUGUGGACCGGAGAUAUACACCAGCAUGAUAAUAACAUGGACCUUUUAAAGACAAAUUUAUCAAAACACCCUGCAGAUGUAAAGGAGGACGUGGAUUCGGUAACAAAGGAAGUGACUGUGAUGAAACCGCUUUAACAUGUAGCUCCUAAUUUAGGCACGUUGCCUUUUUUUAAAAAAGUUACUUAUUUAGGAUUGCAGUUCAUUAAGUGAAUAGAUGUGAAUUAGUACUUUCAGGACUGUUGUAGUGCAUGCGUUUUAAUGUCAUGUUUUGCCACCAAAAUUGUCUUUUUAUUUGUUUAAAAUGCUUUUAUUUAGGGGGUCAAAUAUUUGUGACUUUCAGCAAACACUUUCUAUCCACAUAUUUGUCAGCGUCACCCCAAUGUUAAGAUUUGCACGCAUCUUUCCCAUUUUUAAAGUGACUGUGCAUUCAAGUACAGCAUCAAACCCAAGACUAAUUUAUUGUAGAUAGAUUUAAUUACAAAAAUAUAUAUAAAUAAUACAAAUGGAAUGACACUAAGCCCUUCUCCUCCUCUAAUUUACUUCUACUUACUAACUGCAUGCUAAUCAUCGUAAUUCAAUAGAUCAUAACAUUUAUAAUAUACCAUCUAUUACAUUAAAUUUAACUAUGGAAUCUUUCCUAAGUUUUGAAAUAUUGUAAACUCUUUCAGUUGCUGUUGUUUAGGACAAAUGAUGGAUAACAGUAAGUUAACAUUUGCUACAUUUUAGUAGCGCACACAGACUUUGUAUGUUAACUGUGUUCAAACUUUUGUAGAUGAUUUGUUCAACAGCUGAAUCACCAAUACGAGCAAAGUUUAUGAUUUGUCAAAGAACAAUAAACUUAUUAUAAAUAACGAUGGUAGUAAUUUUAAAUCUUGUUAAGUUUACUUUUCAUGCUUUUGUGUGACUAUUAACAUGUCAGAUGUAAUAUCACCAUUAUAAAACCCCAAAUGAAAGACAAUAAAUCUCAUUUUCUAUCUUUCUCUUUCUCUCUCUCUCUCUCUCUCUCUCUCUCUCUCACACACACACACACACACACAAGUUUUUUCAAGCUAUACAUUUUUAAACUAAAGUCACCAUACUAAUUCAAACAAAUUGUCAGUGUUUGUUUGUCUGUUCAUUGUCUUGAGAUUUUUGUUUAAGAAUUUAAACACUAUAACAAAGGAAAAUAAAUGCUUUUGAGGAAUUAAUGAAUGCAUUUACAUUAUGGGUGAAUUUACACUUUCUUAUUGUAUGUAGACAACGUGUCAUCUGAAGUGGAAGGCACAAAAGGCUGUUGCAUCAUACCCUACACCUCUCCUGACUGACAUCUUGUGGAAACAGCCUCAAAGAACUCGAAGUCCUGCGACUUUGUGACAACUUGCUACUUUGUCCAUUUUUAGAAUUUGAUGGGGAAUAUCUUGACACCGACUCUUCUAAAAGUAGCCGAUACUGUGAAGCUUUUGGGGACUAAACCAGUUUUUCAGACCAUGGACUGAAACUGAAUAUACAAACUGAUGUACAUUUUUCAUUCAGUGGAAUAUGAGAUAUGUUUUUUUGUUUCCUCUGAUUUGAUGAUUGUAAUGCUCAGAUUAUUUUUCAAUACAAACUGUUACGUCCUGAGUAGGUGCAUAAUGUUUUUACUUUGCGAGAAACGAUAGUUCAAGACCUUUAAAACGUUCUCUAACCAUACGGUGCGAUACUUGAACCAACUGAUAAACAGGUGUAGUUUGUAAUCCUCCUAUUACAGGGGUGAUUUUACUGUGACUAUUGCCUAGUUAGAUGUCUCUGACUAGCAUCUCAGAUGUUUAAACAAGACUUACUCUCUUAAUGUUCAACAUUAAGGUUAAUUACGGUCAUGUCUAUGCAUACAGUAAAAUAUAAGUGUGCCGAGCAAGAUUUUCAAUGAAUUGGUAUCAAGUUGCACACCAUGUCUUAUUAUUUCCCUUCUACUUACGAUUUGACAAGCCUAUUCAUUUGACACAACGUAUUUCCUUAAUAUAUUUGAUUUAUGCUGGACAAAUUGUUUUAAAUAAAGU